rnacentral:lncRNA from 1 species
AAUAGUACCAAUUAUAUCUAGGUAAUUUUCAAUAAAGAACAUUUUAAUUUAUACACAAAUGAUAUAUUUUUUUCAGAAAUUGUAUUGGUCAGCAUUUUGCCAUGAAUGAACAAAAGGUUGUACUUGCCAGACUUCUACAAAAGUAAGAAUACAUUAGAAGUCCCAGUUGUCAUACAUUCUUCUUUAAAACAGACUGACAAGGUUAAACUAACUGGGAAUGUAUGAAACCACAAUCUCAUAUUUGUUGCUACAAUGUUUUAUAAUUUGGUAACAUAUACAAGUUAGAAAGAGAUGUACUAUACACAAAAAUACAACAGCAUCCCAAUAAUUCAAGUUACCAAAAUAUAUAGAGAGGUCAAAGUUCAUUCAACAAUAAACAAAUGUUAAUAAUAUUUCAAGCUCUAAAUCUCAAGCCUAACCAAGCAUCAUUGUUUACUUCUUCAGGGAUGAGAAAAUCGGUAUAUUUUUCAAGAGGAGAUAACUUUCACAAAGGUGCUAAAUUCCAGGGAUGCUGCAAAUCAACUAAGUUAAACACUUCUCUAGGUCAAAUGAUGUUCUAAGGUCACACUAUAUUAUCCACAACUGGCUUACUCACUUUUUUUUUUUUGAUGGCAUGCUACACAUUAUAGUACUAAUGUACAUUCGCUUCUCCUCAAAAGUCUUUAAUUAUAAUUUUAUUGGAAAAUGACGCAGUCAUUGUUCUAUAACUGGCGACCUGAACUUCAUUACAUUUCUCUGCCUACCGCGCUUGGUUUCGUAUUUACUAUUUUCUAUACAAACUGGAAUUUGUUAUCAUUAUGCAUGAGAGGUCAUUGUGUAGUAAUCAGCCAGGAACCAGUUUACAAACUAACUGGUUUCUGCUUGUAUUCCACUACACUCGAACAAAGUGUUGUAGUUUGACGGGAACCAGUUUAGAAUUUGUAAACUACAAAACGUAAUCGGUUAUGUUCAUUCCGUUUUGGUGUUCAUACCGACUUUAUGGUUUGAAAAGCUUAAGACCCUUCAAACAUUAAUGUGAUAGGUAUUAAAGACUGUUUUACAAAAGGAUGGAACAGUUUUGCUUUUCAAAGUCGACUAUAGUGAUAUCUGUAUGUACGGAUUUCACUUCACCGGUUAAUUUCUUCUUUUACACGUGCUUUGAAACUUCCUGUUUAAACAUCGCAAGUUUUAAAAUUGUUUUUUGGAUGAAUUUAACUUAUUUUAACAAUCAUGAAGCGUUCCAGAAUCAUUUUCAAGCAGUUUCUUCUUCUCUUUGAUGAUGGAAAUAGGUUUUUCUCAAGAAAUACCGCAAACGAUCGCAGAGGAAUUGAAACGACAAGUCAAGUCGGCACCUGGUUAAAUUGGCAUCUAGUCAAAUCGGCACCUAUUUGACUCAAUUCGGCAUCCAAUAAUAUUUGUUAUAAUAUUUUCUAUUCAAUUAAUUAUAACUGUUACCAAGUACAUAGUGAAUAUGUUGUUGUGUAUAAAGGUAAACAACGAAGCCCUUACCCAAGCUGUUGUUUUAACAAGGAUUUGUAUACAAAUCCUUGGUUUUAACAAUUAGACAAUUAUUAAAAUAAAAUGGAAAACUAUGAGUCCCUUUCAAUAAACAACUUUCAUGCCAAAUAAUAAGCAAAUUUAAGGUGUUUUUUUUUCAGUAAAGUUUAAAAAGCAUUAAACAAACAAUCCUGUAAAAUGCUCAACUGGUUUAAAUAAUGCAUAAACAUAUCCAAUAUCUCAUGUAUUUAGUCCAAAUAAUUAUGACAUCUGGCAAGGCUAUUUAUUUUUUUUCUGUGAUGUCUUCCUAUGAAGUUCGUAGGAAGCUCCCAGAAAAAAAUUAACAUAGCCUUGCGGUCAUAGAAAGGUGUCCCAGAAUACAAUUUAAAAAGCCUUGCAGAAGUAAUUAUUUGACUACUCAUAUAUAUAUCAUUAAAAUACACCAAAAAAGUCAUUAAGUGAGAAAAAUAAAUAUAUACAAAAUGUACAUGAACACCAAAAAUGUGAAAGUAGUAUUUAACUCUUUUGCUUAAAUACUGAAAAAAAAUCUGCAACCCCUUACUUAUUUUUUACUCUUUUUGCUUAAAAUACUGUUAAAUUUUAAUUUACAUGGGUGACGAAUUGACUAAAUCAGUGUCGAUUUAACCAGGUGCGAUUUGUCCAGGUGCCAAUUUAACCAGUGCCGGUUGACUAGAAUUUGACAAAUGUUUGAAAUUACCUGAGUUUCAUUAGAUCUUUGAUAACAGUAACAAAAAGAUUAUUUACUUAAUAUUUUGUGGGAGAAGGGGGUUCAGACUAUGUGGUAUCAGGUCUGUUCGCGCCAAUACAUUCGCACCCUACACGUUCGCACCUCGCACGUUCGCCACCCAAGGUCCGUUUGCACUCUACUCAUCGCGCCCAAUUUAAUUCAAAUUCAAGUUGAAUAAUUGGAAAUCAUGAUUGUUGUUUAAAUGCUUUGGUGUAAAAUACUGAAUGUAUUAUAGCUUGGUAUGAGUAAAACAUUGAAGAUUUUUUAAGAAAAAACAAAAGAUAAUUGUUUUUAACAGCUUGGUCCCUUUGAUCUGAAACAACGAAACAAUAAAAUAUAGGAACCAAAAUAUAGCAAUCACUAUAUAACCAAAACAUGAUAAAAUCUAUUCAACACACAGAAAAAAACAUAGUCAGAAUCUACUUCAUUUUGAAGAAGUCAUGAAAAAAGUUAUAGCAAUACACUAACAAAACAUGAUUUAGAGUUAUUCAACACAAAAUAAAACGUUGACAAAAUACCACUUUAUUUAGAAAGGAUUAUUAUAAGUUUUACAAUACGCUAUCUAAAACAUGAUUAAGAUUUAUUCACACAAAAAAAAUGCUGUCUCACUUUAUUUUGAGACAAUGACAACAAUUAUAUUAUAAGAAAACACUUGCUUACAGAGUUAUUAAACACAAAACCAAUUAAGAUUGGGUGCGAACAUGUAAGGUGUGAAAGUGAAAGGGGCGAACAUGAGUGGGCGCGAACGGACCCGGAUUCAGACUACCGUAUGUACCAGUGAGAAAUAUACAAGCCUUUUCUACGGUAUUUAUUUGUACAAUUCAGGUAGUCUGACCUAUCAUUGUCUAAAAACAGCCAGUUUGCCACCUUCACUUCACACACACACACACAUAUACGAAUAUCAAUUAUAUGCGUUACGAGACAUGUUGCAUUGUUAAACUAAUUACGGUAUGUGAAAAUCAAGACUUGCAAAAAACUAUCCCAAUUAGAGACAGUGGCGUCAUUUUUCUUCAGAGCUUUCAGCUCUUUGAUUUAAGCUUUCUUAGAACCCUUACUAUAUAAUGCCAUUUUGGAUUUUUUGUGGUUUCUGGCCUGAAUGAUUUCUACAACUUGAUAAUCUGUUUUCUAGGUUUACUUUUCAACCAGAUCCAGACUGUCUGGUGAAGAAAAAGAUUGGAGUUGUAAUGCGAGCUGAAAAUGGAAUAAAACUGUUAGCACAUCCGAGGUCUUAAAGAUCUGAAAAAUAAUGUAGUUUGUUAUUAUCUGAUUUUUACUUCUUUUUUAUUGGAAUUAUUUCUUGUAAUUUGUUAUUUUCACAUUCAUUUGUUAUGAUUAGAUUUUAAGAAUAAUUUCUGGAUUACUUUAUUAUUUAUAUGCUUAGUAACCAGAAGUGUGGACAUUUUGUAUAAAGGCCUGUGAUAACAUGUUUCUAGGUUAUUUAUAUGAUACAUGAUCAUAACUGUGCAGGUCAUGUCUGGGUUUCUUAAAAAAAAGACGUAAGCCAUGAACAAUUCAAUAUACUAAUGCUCAAUUUUAGUUCAAGGAUUUUUCUUUUGUGAAACUCCGUCCCAGGCCUGAUGUUUGUGAUCUUUUAACCUGAUGUCCUCCCAUUAAUUCUAUUGUCAAAUAUUCAACUUACCUGAAUGAUGGAGAUUUCAUAUCAAUAAUUGUUGAUAAUGAACCAAAUGUCAAUCAGACAUAGUUUAACUUAUUUGACAACAUUUUUUGUCAGAUUGUUCAAGGGGUGCUAGGGAUGGGUAGGAAGUCACUUGACAUAAAUAACUGUGAUAUAUAGUUGGUUGUAUUUUAGAUGAUAAAGGUUUUACAAAUAUAUUGAAUUUUAAAAAAUUGUAUUUCAUGUGUUAAUGGGAGUAUUGUGAAUAUGUCUAGAUGUCAGAAGGACAUUCUAGUUAAAAAUCAUUUAUCUUAUUUUAAACUUUCAACAAUAAGUUUGCAUACAAAAUAAAUUAUGACUUGUGUGAUGGUUUGCUGUAACUGUAAAGUAAUUAAAAAUUAAUAUUUUAUACUGUACUAUCUAAUGAAUUACGAAUGUGAUAAUGUUUUAUUGUGAGAAAAGUCAAAGUGGACAGAAAACAAUCAGAUUUAAUUAGAAUGAAUUUUAGAUAAGCAUGGUGUACCAAAUUAUCUUUCAUUGGUGGUUAUUAUUAACACCGACUUUGAAAUUGAAUAAAUUUACAAAUGAUAUUAAAAAUAAUAGUAUGAUUGUUGUUAUAUUUAAUUUUAAAAAUUAUAUCAAGGACAUUGUUCAUAAAUUUCCUAAGAUUUUGUAAUCACUUUUCCAGGAUUAAUUUGUUUAAUUAUAUGUUGUUAUGGAAAAGAAAAGAAAAACACUCCUUUUAAUUUCUAUGCAAGACCAA